rnacentral:rRNA from 1 species
UACGGAGGGGGCUAGCGUUGUUCGGAAUUACUGGGCGUAAAGCGCACGUAGGCGGCUUUGUAAGUUAGAGGUGAAAUCCCGGGGCUCAACCCCGGAACUGCCCUUGAAACUGGAGAGCUAGAAUCUUGGAGAGGCGAGUGGAAUUCCGAGUGUAGAGGUGAAAUUCGUAGAUAUUCGCAAGAACACCAGUGGCGAAGGCGGCUUACUGGACCGGUUCUGACGCUGAGGCGCGAAAGCGUGGGGAGCAAACAGG